CCACAUCUGGAUAUCAUUAAUAGGUCACGGGGUCAGCAGGACGUGGGUGGUCUCAAGGUUGCGACGUGGGUGGGCCAUGUGGUGGGGGAGGGGUAAGGUCAAAAGGCUAAGUGGGGGAGGGGAAAGGUCAAAAGGUCAAAGCCAUAAAUCUUUUUGACAUAAGCUCCAGUUUACUGUGUGACUACUCAGCACAAUAAAAUCUUUUUCUCUCUCAGCAAAUCCACUACCUGCAGGAAUCAUAACAGCUGAUGGACAGCAACAAAAUGUGAUGGUGUACACCACCUCCUAUCAGCAGAUCCCAGGUGUGCAACAGCUCCAGUUCUCCUGAAGAUGUGCAGAAAUCAACACCUAAUCAUCACGAAUCAGACCUCCACACUUCCACAGGUCAUGAGCGGUGGGGUCUGCUAUGGAGAUCUUCAGUGGACUCUCACAGGUCACAGAGCUGGACUUCUAUGUUUGUUUAGCUUGUUUUUGUGUGUGUGCUCCGUGAGUGUCUGUGCACACACCUUAUGAUUUUACGUGACUAGUCUGUUGGGUGUUAUUUUUUUUGUUUUUCAUCAUACAUUUGGAGUUUUAUCCAUGUAAAGGUUUGGGGUAAAAGGGGUCCUGAGGGGGUUCAAAACUAACUCACCCCUCUAUCAAAGCAAUAAAAUAGAACAAAUGUGAAUUUUCCUGCAACUUAGUGGAAUGAGGGCUUUGCUCCUUUUUUUAUAUAGAUUAAAAAUCAUGUUGCAUGUGUAAUUUCAGUUUGAUGA